GGCUCGUUGGUCUAGGGGUAUGAUUCUCGCUUUAGGUGCGAGAGGUCCCGGGUUCAACAACUAAAUUUUCCA